rnacentral:rRNA from 1 species
CCUACGGGAGGCAGCAGUGGGGAAUAUUGGGCAAUGGGCGGAAGCCUGACCCAGCAACGCCGCGUGAAGGAAGAAGGCUUUCGGGUCGUAAACUCCUAUUCUCAGGGAAGAAGAAAGUGACGGUACCUGAGGAAUAAGCCACGGCUAACUACGUGCCAGCAGCCGCGGUAAUACGGAGGUGGCAAGCGUUAUCCGGAUUUAUUGGGUGUAAGGGGCGUGUAGGCGGGAGCGCAAGUCAGAUGUGAAAACUCAGGGCUCAACCCUGAGCCUGCAUUUGAAACUGUGUUUCCUGAUUGCUGGAGAGGCAAUCGGAAUUCCGUGUGUAGCGGUGAAAUGCGUAGAUAUACGGAGGAACACCAGUGGCGAAGGCGGAUUGCUGGACAGUAACUGACGCUGAGGCGCGAAAGCGUGGGGAGCAAACAGGAUUAGAUACCCCGGUAGUC